AAAGGAAUAACUGUGUUUUACUAAAGCAAUAUAAAGAAGACACCAUGAAGAAUCUGAUGUUGAUUGUCUUAAUACUGUUCAUAACUAUAGAUACAGUCCAUCCUUGUUCUUGUACUGGUGACAAGGAUCAAGUUUGUUCCACAAAGGGUAGGACUCACAGAAACGACUGUGAGAUGUUUUGCAACGAAGAAGUUUUAGCUUGCCACCAUGCAUGUCCAUGUUGAUAUUAACAAUUGG